ensembl:lncRNA
AGCCCAGUUCUAACUGGACUGUCUGCUAGCUUCUCUCCCUCCUUCUCCCACAUGCCCAAGGAGAGAGUCCUGAGCUUUUCAGAGUCUGUGGAGGUUCCUGAUGCUUAUAUUGAAGGACACAGUCCCUAGCCCUGAGAACUGGAGUUUUUGACUUUUUAAAAGGGCCAAGUGGAGGAGGGCUCCAGAGAAAUGCCCUGAAGGAGCCCCAUCCGUUGCCCCGUGAGGUAUAGACUCGGACUUCAGAUGCCCCUCCAGAGCCUGGCUCCACAGCAAGAGAAACGCUCUCUCCGCUCCAAGCUUCAAGUUCUAUCUUGCUGGUGGCCCUCACUCCCUUCACUCCUCUGGAUCUGACACACAGGCCUCUCUGGGAUCUGGAAUGGGAGCUGCUGCUCCGAAGCAGAGGAUGGCGAGAUAGAGGAGUGCUCCAUGGCGCCUCUUAGUGGGCGGGGGCGUCACCGCGAACGGGCAUCUGGCCGGGGGCGGGGUUUGGACAGGGUUGGGCCGGCGCCGCCGCCAGGUGUGUUGGGCUGAGGAUGGAGCGGGUAUAGAGGCCGACAGGCGCUCUUCCCAGAAGGCGCCAGCAGAGGGCGCGCGAGGACCGGUCAAGAGGCCCGGCGCUUGCGAAGGCCUGGGAUGGGGGUGUGGUAGACAAGGCUGCAGGUGCCCUGGAGGAACCGCCCAGGGGCUUCUCUCCGACUCCCCCGGGUGGGAGCUGGGGCUGGAAGUGUCCGGACUGCGCGGCCCUUCGCUCCUCAGGCAGAGGUGGCCGAUGGGGAUGUGGCCUAGAGUGGGUGGGUAGACCUUCCCUAUUACCGGGCAAGGGAGUAGGGUCUGUAGAUUCAGGACUGGUGACCUUGAUGCUGAAUCUGGUAGGACCCCCUUCCUCAGACACCUCAGGUCGAAAUUCUGUGCCUCAGUUUCCCCCUGCGCGAGCUCUGUCCUUGUUCCCGGAAGCUCUAAACUGGGGCACCAGGUGGGGUGACCCAAUGAAAGGAAAUUAGUAUGCCCCAGUUCCCGCCCCCCACCUCUUCCCGUUUAUUACCCUGACCUCGCCAACCUUGAACCCAGAGCUUGGGGGAAGUAGAAAAAGAUGGGAGAGGAGAAGAGUGAGUGAUGGAAGAAGUGACACUGUAAAAGCAAAUGGAAGGGGAGGAUGGAGGAAGAGGAAGGGGAGGAAGAAGGGAAGGAGGAGGGCGUGGUUCGGUGGGUGGGUACGAAGAGGGGCUUAGCCCUCUUAGCGGAAGCUCUCCCGAGACGGGCUAACUGCGCCUGCUCUCAGCUGUGAUGAGGCCUGAGCUCUCCGCUGCAUCCCGGAACCAUCGCUCUGCCAGUUGCCCGCCUCCAGCCUCCAUGAUUUAUAGCUGGGCCAGGCCGGGCGACCUUGGAUGGAUAACUAAUGAGGGGUCAAUAACGCUACAGAAAAAGUGAACUGGUAUUGAGUGGCAAUCAUUUUCCGUGCCCUGGGGAUAUGGAAGCAACACUGGGGAUCUUAUAUUCCAGCUGCUGCUGCCAAGUCGCUUCAGUCGUGUCUGACUCUUAGCGACCCUAUGGACUGCAGCCUACCAGGCUCCUCCAUCCAUGGGAUUUUCCGGGCAACAGUACUGGAGUGGGGUGCCAUUGCCUUCAUCAAGCGGGUAUAAAAGCGUGUUUCAGGAGGUACGCCUAUG